ensembl:lncRNA
UUGUGUCUGAACUCCCGGGAAGGAGGUGGCGGUAAGGCACCAACAAGAUGGAUGCUAACUGCCAGUAAACCAAAAAAAGGAGAAGAGGAGUAGGAGGGUCGUCACACCAGGUUCUAGUCUGGACCAUCUGCUGGACCAACAUGGUACCAAGUACCAAUGUUCUGAGACCAAUGCGGGUAGUCACUGGUAACCAGUGAAGGGAGCAGACCGAUAACCAGUGAAGGGAGCGAACUGGUAACCAGUGAAGGGAGCCAACUGGUAACCAGUGAAGGGAAGGGACUGAGUAGUGUGGGUAAAUUCAGGUUAAAAGACCAGUUGAGCUGUUGCAUUCUGGGUGAACUGCAGAGGUUGGAUGGCAUUGGCAGGUAGACCUGCGAGAAGGAGUUAGAGUAGUCAAGCCGUCAGAUGACCAGAGCCUUCUGAGAGAGAAAGGACGUGUUCCCCUGAUGUUGGGCAGCAUGGGAACGUGUUGGUGCUGAAAUGUCGGCAGUGAGGGAAAGUUGACUGUUGCGUGUCACACUGAGGUACCUAGCAGUCAGGGUGCGGUUAGGACAGAGUUGUCAACGGGCAGGUCUGUGCUGAUUGUGUUUUGUUUGUAUGGUUUUUGGCUGUGUUCUCCCCUUUCCCUUCGGUGUUCUCCUGUGUGUUUGGGUGUGCAUCCCAAUCUUUCUACUCAUCCUCCUCCAUAUAAACCUGGCGUCUCAUCACUUCGACGCCAGAUUAUUCCACUACGCCCAGAACUCUCGUGUGCCUCAUCGCUCGGCUCGUCAUCCUCCCCGUUGCCAGGAUCCACAAGCCAGCCAGCACCCUGCUACCCCUGCCUUCCUCGCCAGCUAAUAAACUCUGUUCAUAUAUCCUGCUACAAACCACUCCGUGUCUGCUUUGGGGUCCGAACCUUCACUUAAACGUAACAAGGUCGUUAGUGAGAAAGUCUUUACCUGAAAGGAACAGAAGUUCAGUUCAGAGUUUAAUCCUGGUGUAUGCUGCCAUCCACUGAGAGAUGUCCAGCAAACAGGCAGAGAUUCAAGCUGCCUACUUGUGUCUCAGAUUGCG